rnacentral:rRNA from 1 species
GAUUAACGCUGGCGGCGUGCAUAACACAUGCAAGUCGAACGAUGAAACUUAACUGAUUUCUUCGGAAUGAUUUUAAGUGGAUUAGUGGCGGACGGGUGAGUAACGCGUGAGUAACCUGCCUUGGAGAAGGGGAUAGCCUUUGGAAACGAAGAAUAAUACCCUAUGAUAUGAUAAUAUCUCAUGAUAUUAUCAUCAAAGAUUUAUCGCUCUAAGAUGGAUUUGCGUCUGAUUAGUUAGUUGGUGAGGUAACAGCUCACAAAGGCAGCGAUCAGUAGCCGGCUUGAGAGAGUGUACGGGCACAUUGGGACUGAGACACGGCCCAGACUCCGACGGGAGGCAGCAGUGGGGAAUUUUGCACAAUGGGGGAAACCAGGAUGCAGCGACGCCGCGUGAUUUAGAAGGCCUUCGGGUUGUAAAAAUCUUUUGUAUGGGAAGAAAAUGACAGUACCAUACGAAUAAGGACCGGCUAAGUACGUG